rnacentral:ncRNA from 1 species
GAUACAGUCUUUUUCGACAGUAUUUCAUUGCACCAACAUUGUAAUGAAUAGGAACAUGGUGCGGAUUAUUGCAAUCCCAUUCCAUGACUGCCCCCGCAACUGUAGGCGGAUGCAGAAUAUCCUCGUGCAGCAUAUUUUGUUGCAGGUCACUGUAAAGCGAAUCUUUAUGGGAAGGCCGAUAUUCUGAUUACCGUGAGUCAGGAGACCUGCUGUCAAAUUUAUACCCCAU